AGUGAACGCUGGCGGUAGGCCUAACACAUGCAAGUCGAACGGCAGCACAGGAGAGCUUGCUCUCUGGGUGGCGAGUGGCGGACGGGUGAGGAAUACAUCGGAAUCUACUCUGUCGUGGGGGAUAACGUAGGGAAACUUACGCUAAUACCGCAUACGACCUACGGGUGAAAGCAGGGGACCUUCGGGCCUUGCGCGAUUGAAUGAGCCGAUGUCGGAUUAGCUAGUUGGCGGGGUAAAGGCCCACCAAGGCGACGAUCCGUAGCUGGUCUGAGAGGAUGAUCAGCCACACUGGAACUGAGACUCGGUCCAGACUCCUACGGGAGGCAGCAGUGGGGAAUAUUGGACAAGGGGCGCAAUCCUGUUCCAGCCAUACCGCGUGGGUGAAGAAGGCCUUCGGGUUGUAAAGCCCUUUUGUUGGGAAAGAAAUCCAGCUGGCUAAUACCCGGUUGGGAUGACGGUACCCAAAGAAUAAGCACCGGCUAACUUCGUGCCAGCAGCCGCCGUAA
rnacentral:rRNA from 1 species